UGAGGAAUAUUGGUCAAUGGACGCAAGUUUGAACCAGCGACGCCGCGUGCGGGAUGAAGGGGGCUUAGCCUCGUAAACCGCUGUCAAGAGGGACGAGAGGGCGAUUUUUGUCGUCCGGGGACGGUACCUCUGAAGGAAGGAUCGGCUAACUACGUGCCAGCAGCCGCGGUAAUACGUAGGAUCCGAGCGUUGUCCGGAAUUACUGGGCGUAAAGGGUGCGUAGGCGGCAAUGUGCGUCAGAGGUGAAAUCCACGGGCUUAACUUGUGGGGUGCCUUUGAUACGGCAUAGCUUGAGUACGAGAGAGGUCGAUGGAAUUCCUGGUGUAGCAGUGAAAUGCGUAGAUAUCAGGAGGAACACCGGUGGCGAAGGCGGUCGGCUGGCUCGUAACUGACGCUGAGGCA
rnacentral:rRNA from 1 species